UAAUACCCCAUAGACUAUGGAAGCUGGAAUGCUCUGUAGCCGAAAGGUCCGCCGCCACAGGAUGAGUCUGCGGCCGAUUAGGUUGUUGUUGGGGUAACGGCCCAACAAGCCUGUAAUCGGUACGGGUUGUGGGAGCAAGAGCCCGGAGAUGGAUUCUGAGACACGAAUCCAGGCCCUACGGGGCGCAGCAGGCGCGAAAACUUUGCAAUGCGGGAAACCGUGACAAGGGAACUCCGAGUGCCCGUAAAUUCGGGCUGUCCGCCAGUGUAAAAAACUGGUGAAGAAAGGGCCGGGCAAGACCGGUGCCAGCCGCCGCGGUAAUACCGGCGGCUCGAGUGGUGGCCACUAUUACUGGGCUUAAAGCGUUCGUAGCUGGUCUGUUAAGUCUCUGGGGAAAUCUUCCGGCUCAACCGGAAGGCGUUUCAGGGAUACUGGCAGACUAGGGACCGGAAGAGGUGAGGGGUACUCCAGGGGUAGGAGUGAAAUCCUGUAAUCCUUGGGGGACCACCUGUGGCGAAGGCGCCUCACCAGAACGGCUCCGACAGUGAGGAACGAAAGCUGGGGGAGCAAACCGGAUUAGAUACCCGGGUAGUCCCAGCUGUAAACGAUGCGCGUUAGGUGUAUCGGUGACCACGAGUCACCGAGGUGCCGAAGGGAAACCGUGAAACGUGCCGCCUGGGAAGUACGGUCGCAAGGCUGAAACUUAAAGGAAUUGGCGGGGGAGCACCACAACGGGUGGAGCCUGCGGUUUAAUCGGACUCAACGCCGGGAAACUCACCGGACAAGACAGCUGAAUGAUUGCCGGGCUGAAGACUCUGCAUGACUAGCUGAGAGGAGGUGCAUGGCCGUCGUCAGUUCGUACUGUGAAGCAUCCUGUUAAGUCAGGCAACGAGCGAGACCCCUACC
rnacentral:rRNA from 1 species